rnacentral:tRNA from 2 species
GCGCCCGUAGCUCAGGUGGUAGAGCAUCUGACUUUUAAUCAGAGGGUCCCUGGUUCGAGUCCAGGCGGGCGUACCA